CGUGCGAACCCAGGGGACGACGUCUUCAACACCAUAAUGUGCGUCAAGUGCGGCAUGUAUGGGCGGCUGACGCCUCUGGUCACUGACCUGCCUCGAAGCGACGAGCGCAUGGAUAUCGUCGUCUUCACUGCCGGAUCACCAGAUGUUGAGCAGUUAGUGUACCCAGAUGUUGAUGCACAGGGACAAUAGAGGGAUACGGGAGCAGAACUUCUGACAACAGCAUCACGAGCCCUCUUUCAGGAAUCAGAGGUCGGAAUACUUCGGAUGCAACGACUUGAGAAUUACGAGUCUUCUUUUGUUCAGAAAGUUUUCAGAAAACUCAGUAGCUUUCUGUUUCUGUUAGUUAGGUUUGGUGCGUUCCCCUGAAUGGAUGGGUUUCAAUUGGUCUUUCAUUUUCAGAACUUACUGGUGAAAGUGUUAUGUGAUGGACAAUUUUGCGAAGUAACACUUGUGGUAGUUACCAUCUUCAUCUCCUUGGGAUGACAACUAACAAGAAUAGAUGUUGCUUGUAGUA